UGAAUAUUCUAACACAUUCAGAUUACAGUAAGGCUUUCUUAUCCUUCUCUGAAAUCUUCAGGUGGUUGCCAGGUAGUAAUCUAGCCAUGCAACUCUUAUGUUACUGCUUAAGUAACUGCCAGUUAACUAUCUAGCCAACUUCAAGGUUUAGCUUAUGAUAUAAGGCCUUCAAUUACUUGGGUUUAUGAUACCAGAUGGAUCCCUUUCACCUUUACAGAUGUUGAAGACCAUUAAAAUCAUCCAAAGAGGACUUUCUGCAUAUAUGGAGAUUGCAAGAUUCCCUACUUUUACUUGAUUGAAUUGAGGCAUUUGGAAACCAGAAAGACUUCAAACUAGUGGAGAAAAGUUUGUAAGUGAAAGACAGGCUGUUCAACCCAAUCUAUGUCGACUUUGGUAUAGAUAAAUGGAAAAACAACAUAUUCCAGAAAGAGUCUCUUUCCUCUCGAAAGGAAUAUUGAUGACAAAUUCUUUUUCAUUACAUUCACAGAGAACUGAUAAUAAAAUAAUGCAGGAGAUGUUUGUCUUCACAUCAUUAAUUCAUAUGUGCUUUCUCUAUCAUUCUUGGCAAAAUCAAACAAAACCCGAGAAAAACCUUAAAAGCAGCCUCAUUGGCAAAUGGAAAUGGUCAAUGGUCAUAGAUAGAGAAUGCAUGGAGGGAUGAAAAAUAUGGUAAACCAAGUGGAAAGACAUAUAUUUUCCUGCGAAUGCCUUUUAAAGAAUGCACCUUUAUAGAUACUUUCCUUUCAUAUAUGGAUUUCUGCAUGCACUUUUUCUGAAUAUAAACUUUUUUACAAGUGUUUUA